CUUGUCUUUUUUUUUUUAUAGCAGAAAAAGGCACGUAAACAGCAUUUCCACAAUCCCUGCAUUAGCAAGGUUUAUCUGGACAGUCCAGUUCAUCCACCUUGCUUCCACCUGUUACUGCAAGAGUUUCCAAAAAGGAUAAAAGUCAGAUGAAAACUUAGAUGGAAAUAAACAUCAUAAUCAAGUGAUUUUGGAAUCAGAACAUUGAAACAAGGUCAAAAGUUUUGUAUAACAGUAUCAUCUUCACUCUAAUGACUGAGAAAAGAUGUUACUUUGAUAAAAAGAACUGUUUUGAAACCAGGUCUCUAUCACAGAGUUAUUCAGCAUAAAAGUGAGUGCCUUGAGCAGAUGUCCUCUUUCCCUUCUCCGGAGUAACUUCUGAAAAUAGGCAGCGUUUUCAAGCAGGCAGUCUGACAGGUAAGGCAAAAGAGUGCAAGAUCAUAGAGAAGAGGUGAACGGCAUUAGUCAAAGUGAAACGUCAGAUAACCAUGCUCUUCAGAAGCCUAUUCCUUCAAACUGAGCCAUAAUUCAUCUCAAUAAACCAUUAAGCACAGGGAUAUUAAAUAACACAAUAAGGGUUAUGACAUUUGAACCUGAUACAAAACUAUGGGGAACAAAUUUUGGGGAUCAUUUUUACUCCCUUUUCCUUUUUUCUUUUUAUUGGUUCUUUUUAGUUAGGAUGUUAGGAUUCAUUUUGACAAACCUAUAAAAGUAUGGAAUAUAAUUUGUUCUAAUUCGGUCCCAAGUACUUCCCCUUUCUCUCUCAUCCUCCUUCUCCCUGUUCCCUUUCCUCUACUCUACUGAUCCUUAUGCUAUUUAUAUAUAUGCCAGGGUGCUUAACCACUGAGCAACAUCCCCAGCCCUUUUUAUUUUUUAUUUUGAGACAGGGUCCUGUUAAGUUUCUUAGGGCCUUGCUAAGUUGCUGAAGUUGGCUUUGAACUCAAGAUCUU
rnacentral:lncRNA from 1 species